CCUACGGGAGGCAGCAGUAGGGAAUCUUUGACAAUGGGCGAAAGUCUGAUGGAGCAAAGUAGCGUGAAGGAUGAAGGCCCUAGGGUUGGUAAACGCUUUUAUAAGCGAGAAAAAUGAUGGUAAGUUAUGAAUAAGGAUCGGCGAACUACGUGCCCGCAGGCGUAGUCAUACGUAGGAGGCGAGCAUUAUCAGGAGUGACUGGGUGUAAAGCGUUGCGUAGGGGGGAAAAUAAGUAGCUAGUGGAAUCUUGAGGCUUAACCAUUCAGACUAUUAGCUAAACUGUUAGGCUCGAGACCAGUAGUGGUAGCUGGAAUUUCUAGUGUAGGAGUGAAAUGCGUAGAUAUUAGAAGGAACACCGAUAGCGGAGGCAGGUUACUGGGACGUUUCUGACACUAAGGCUCGAAAGCGUAGGUAGCAAACGGGAUUAGAUACCCGGGUAGUC
rnacentral:rRNA from 1 species